rnacentral:rRNA from 1 species
AACGAACGCUGGCGGCGUGUUUAAGACAUGCAAGUCGCACGGGAUAAGACAUGUAGUAAUACUUGUUUUAUUUAGUGGCGCACGGGUGAGUAACACGUGAAUUACAUGCCCUAUAGUGGGGAAUAGCCCAGGGAAACUUGGAUUAAUACCCCAUGGUAUCGAAAGAUUAAAGGUGGCCGCAAGUCUGUCGCUAUAGGAUUGGUUCGCGCCCUAUCAGCUUGUUGGUGAGGUAACGGCUCACCAAGGCAAUGACGGGUACCUGGUCUGAGAGGACGAUCAGGCACACUGGAACUGAGACACGGUCCAGACACCUACGGGUGGCAGCAGUCGAGAAUAAUUCACAAUGGGGGCAACCCUGAUGGUGCAACGCCGCGUGGAGGAUGACGGUCUUCGGAUUGUAAACUCCUGUCAUCUGGGAGAAAGACCUGACGGUAAAUAGCCGGCAGGGUUGAUAGUACCAGAAGAGGAAGGGACGGCUAACCUCGUGCCAGCCGCCGCGGUAA